UAGUCCACGCCGUAAACGAUGAGUGCUAGCUGUUAGAGCUUCGGCUUUAGUGGCGCAGUUAACGCAUUAAGCACUCCGCCUGGGAAGUACGGUCGCAAGAUUAAAACUCAAAGGAAUUGACGGGGACCCGCACAAGCGGUGGAGCAUGUGGUUUAAUUCGAGGCAACGCGAAGAACCUUACCAGGACUUGACAUCCUUAUCGCGCACAUCAGAGAUGAAGUGUUUCAGUUUGGCUGGAUAAGUGACAGGUGCUGCACGGCUGUCGUCAGCUCGUGUCGUGAGAUGUUGGGUUAAGUCCCGCAACGAGCGCAACCCUCAUCCUUAGUUGCUAACAUUUAGUUGAGAACUCUAAGGAAACUGCCGGAGUUAAUCCGGAGGAAGGUGGGGACGACGUCAAGUCAUCAUGGCCCUUAUGUCCUGGGCUACACACGUGCUACAAUGGCAGUGACAAUGGGAUAAUCCAUAAAAGCUGUCUCAGUUCGGAUUGUGGG
rnacentral:rRNA from 1 species